rnacentral:rRNA from 1 species
UACGGAGGGGACUAGCGUUGUUCGGAAUUACUGGGCGUAAAGCGUGCGCAGGCGGUUUUGUAAGUCUGUCGUGAAAUCCCCGGGCUCAACCUGGGAAUUGCAUUUGUGACUGUACGGCUAGAGUGUGUCAGAGGGGGGUAGAAUUCCACGUGUAGCAGUGAAAUGCGUAGAGAUGUGGAGGAAUACCGAUGGCGAAGGCAGCCCCCCUGGGAUAACACUGACGCUCAUGCACGAAAGCGUGGGGAGCAAACAGG